CCCUCGAUAGCUCAGUUGGAAGAGCGCAAGACUGUAAUGGUAACAUACCAGCACUGCGCGGAAUCUUGAUGUCGCUGGUUCGAUCCCGGCUCGAGGGA